UCAUCUUCGGGGGUAGAGCACUGUUUCGGCUAGGGGGUCAUCCCGACUUACCAACCCGAUGCAAACUACGAAUACCGAAGAAUGUUAUCACGGGAGACACACGGCGGGUGCUAACGUCCGUCGUGAAGAGGGAAACAACCCAGACCGCCAGCUAAGGUCCCAAAGUCAUGGUUAAGUGGGAAACGAUGUGGGAAGGCACAGACAGCCAGGAUGUUGGCUUAGAAGCAGCCAUCAUUUAAAGAAAGCGUAAUAGCUCACUGGUCGAGUCGGCCUGCGCGGAAGAUGUAACGGGGCUAAACCAUGCACCGAAGCUGCGGCAGCGACACUAUGUGUUGUUGGGUAGGGGAGCGUUCUGUAAGCCUGCGAAGGUGACCUGUGAGGGUUGCUGGAGGUAUCAGAAGUGCGAAUGCUGACAUAAGUAACGAUAAAGCGGGUGAAAAGCCCGCUCGCCGGAAGACCAAGGGUUCCUGUCCAACGUUAAUCGGGGCAGGGUGAGUCGACCCCUAAGGCGAGGCCGAAAGGCGUAGUCGAUGGGAAACAGGUUAAUAUUCCUGUACUUGGUGUUACUGCGAAGGGGGGACGGAGAAGGCUAUGUUAGCCGGGCGACGGUUGUCCCGGUUUAAGCAUGUAGGCUG
rnacentral:rRNA from 2 species